GAUUAGCCAUGCUAGUCGCACGAGCUUAGACUCGUGGCAUAUAGCUCAGUAACACGUGGCCAAACUACCCUACAGACCGCAAUAACCUCGGGAAACUGAGGCCAAUAGCGGAUAUAACUCUCAGGCUGGAGUGCCGAGAGUUAGAAACGUUCCGGCGCUGUAGGAUGUGGCUGCGGCCGAUUAGGUAGAUGGUGGGGUAACGGCCCACCAUGCCGAUAAUCGGUACAGGUUGUGAGAGCAAGAGCCUGGAGACGGUAUCUGAGACAAGAUACCGGGCCCUACGGGGCGCAGCAGGCGCGAAACCUUUACACUGCACGACAGUGCGAUAGGGGGACUCCGAGUGUGAGGGCAUAUAGCCCUCGCUUUUCUGUACCGUAAGGUGGUACAAGAACAAGGACUGGGCAAGACCGGUGCCAGCCGCCGCGGUAAUACCGGCAGUCCAAGUGAUGGCCGAUAUUAUUGGGCCUAAAGCGUCCGUAGCUUGCUGUGUAAGUCCAUUGGGAAAUCGACCAGCUCAACUGGUCGACGUCCGGUGGAAACUACACAGCUUGGGGCCGAGAGACUCGACGGGUACGUCUGGGGUAGGAGUGAAAUCCUAUAAUCCUGGACGGACCACC
rnacentral:rRNA from 1 species